rnacentral:lncRNA from 1 species
AAACCUUCCUGAUGCAUUCUAUGUGCUAUGUGAACAUUUAUUUAUUUCAGCUUGCAUGUUGACCGGCUAGGAAAAAUAAAGCAAAAGAAAAACCAAGAGUGAUGUAGGGAAGGAAAUAAAACCCGAUUCUAAAUAUCCCCCAUAUUUAGAAAUAUCUCGAAACUCUUCCCAAAAUUUUUCAAAAAAAGAGAAGAAGAAAAGCAAAAAAAGGGUUAUUUCAAACUGUGUCCUUUUCAAAUAUACCGAACUACGCAGGUCUGAUUCUCACUGAAUGUGAAAUACAUAGGCAACCUACAUACGAUUCGGCCUUAUUUUUGAAAAAAAAAAAGAAAAAUGAGUCAAU